rnacentral:lncRNA from 1 species
GGGAUUGGGAAUUGGGGCUGAACCAGCUCCAUCUCUUCGAGCCCUUCCUGGAGCAGCCCCGGAGCUUUCGGGGGGACCCCGGGGACCCCCACGGGCUCGAGGCCUUCGUGGAGAGCAGCAAGCGGUGGGGAACGGGGAAUUGGGAAUUGGGGAUUGGGGAUUUGGGAAUUGGGGAUUGGGAACGGGGAAUUGGGAAUUGGGAUUUGGGAUUGGGAACGGGGAAUUGGGAAUUGGGAAUUGGGAUUUGGGAUUGGGAAUGGGGAAUUGGGAAUUGGGAUUUGGGAUUGGGAACGGGGAAUUGGGAAUUGGGAAUUGGGAUUUGGGAUUGGGAAUGGGGAAUUGGGAACUGGGGAUUUGGGAUUUGGGAUUGGGAAUGGGGAAUUGGGAAUUGGGAUUUGGGAUUGGGAACGGGGAAUUGGGAAUUGGGAAUUGGGAUUUGGGAUUGGGAAUGGGGGAUUGGGAAUUGGGAUUUGGGGAUUGGGAACGGGGAAUUGGGAACUGGGAAUUUGGAGUUGGGGAUUGGGAAUCUGGGAUUGGGAAUUGAGGAUUAGGAAUUGGGAAUUGGGAACUGGGAAUUUGGGGAUUGGGGAUUGGGAAUUUGGGGAUUGGGAAGUGGGAGUUUGGGAUUGGGAAUUGGGAAUUGGGGAUUGGGCGCUGGGAAUUUGGGGUUGGGGAUUGGGAAUUGGGGAUUGGGAAUUUGGGGAUUUGGAACUGGGAAUUGGGGAUUUGGAACUGGGAAUGGGGAAUUGGGGAUUGGGGAUUGGGGAUUGGGGAUUGGGGAUUGGGGAUUGGGAAUUGGGAAUUGGGAAUUUGGGGAUUGGGAAUUGGGAAUUGGGGCUGGACCAGCUCCAUCUCUUCGAGCCCUUCCUGGAGCAGCCCCGGAGCUUUCGGGGGGACCCCGGGGACCCCCACGGGCUCGAGGCCUUCGUGGAGAGCAGCAAGCGGUGGGGAACGGGGACCCCUCCCCAAAUCAGGGGGGAACCGGGCAGGGGGAGGUUGCCAUGGGGAUGGGACGCUGAGAGGAGACGGUUUCUAUGGGGUGAUGGUUGCCAUGGGGAUGUGGUUGCCAUAGGGAUGUGGUUGCCCUGGGUGAUGGUUGCCAUGGGAGCAGGUUGCCAUGGGGAUGUGGUUGCCAUGGGGACAGGUUGCCAUGGGACGAGGUUUCUAUGGGGUGAUUGUUGCCACGGGGAUGUGGUUGCCACGGGGAUGUGGUUGCCAUAGGGAUGUGGUUGCCCUGG